ACAUACAAACUUUUAGGAAGUGUGGUUCACAUCAAUUGCAGAAAUAGUGCACAACAAGAAAAUAAGUACAAAGUUGCUACUUCAUAACCAGUGAAAACAUAAUAAUUUACAUAAAUACAUAAAGAUAUACACAAGCAUAUUAACUCAGUUUUUACUUUCGCAGGUGUCCGGAUGAUACCUACGAUCGUUUGUGGUGGCCAUCAAACGGUACCUCACGGUGGCUGAAUCUAUCGACAACAAGUGAAAUUAAACGUUAUUUAACUGAUACAGCUGAGGUGCCAAUUAGAGUGCUCCAAACUGCCGUCACCUCGCUUACCACCUCCAUCCCUCUCAACUUGUCGUGGGCAGUUCCUUCUGCCUGGCCGGCCAUGGCACCGCCUGGGUACUACCUCAAUUUGUAUUAUACUGAUUUCCAGAAUCAGAGCAGGCGGGAAUUUGAUAUAUAUUACAAUGGCUUCCUGUGGGAGACAAAUAAUCGGCCGGUCAGCCCAACCUAUCUCUUUGCAGACUAUACAGCUGCCACAGCUCUAUUCACUGAUGCCAGCGGUUUCUACAAUGUCUCCAUAAUCGCUACCAACACCUCUGUGCUCCCUCCCAUACUAAGUGCAUACAAGAUAUACUAUCUCAUCCAGCAUGAUGAUACCGCAACCGAUACACAAGAUGGUACGUCCAGAUUCCGAUCUCCCUCGGUUCCAGCCAACGGAGAAGAGUUCUCUGCAUAAUUGUGAAGUCAUGAUUUGCCAUUUUCACAUGUGUUAAGAGAAAAUGAUAAAUACGAAGAUGCAAAGAGAAACAGCUAAGACCUAUUCUGAAUUAAAAAAAAGGCAAGAAAUUUAGGAUAAUGUCUGGUUCACCAUAGGGUCCUACAGAUGAUACACUUCACACCAUUCCAAAUAUUGAGACGUAAAGUCAUUUGUGCAAACACGAACACGGCAGGUAUCCAGUACAAAAGCCAAUUUUGGGCACAAAGCAACUUUUGGCUAGGUAUCGGAUCAACACUUACUUUCUUACAAAUAAGUUCUAGAUGUAGUUCAUGGUGUGUGGUGCCAUUCUUUAAAAUUAAACUUCAAAUUAACAGUGUGUUAGAAGACAAGACAAGUUUGCUCAGAACACAUCUACCUUUCAUUUAAUUUUCCUAUCCUUUUUAUUUAUAACUUGUCAGAAUUUUCUUACCUUUUCUACUCUUUAUAUAGAUUAUGUUGAAUAAACGUAAACUUGAAACACUAAAUGUAUAAGGCUAGUAAUUUUCAGAAUUUUCAUGCUGAUUUGGUACUUAAACUAAAUCUUUGCACUUCUGUACCAGAUACCUAUGCAACAUUCAGCUUCUUGAACUUCUCACUUGUUUCUCUUCAUUGCAAAUGAUUUUCCAUCCUAACUAGCUGCACAUAACUAUAUGUACUUCAUGUGUUCAUUCACAACUUUUCCAAUGCUAUUUGGUAAAGGAUGGGGACAUGUAUCUCUACUCGGGAAUAGUAAUUGCAUUUGCCCCUACCGAUUUCCAAGUUUAUCAAUUACUUUAAUCAGGACCCUGUAGCCCUUCUUUCAAGGGGUUACAACCAGCACCAUCUCUGCAUUUCAUGUGUACUUCAUACAACAAUCAUAUAUACUGCUAAUACUUCACACAUCAUGUGUAUAUUCAUUGUAAUUUCAGACUGGUUUUAAUUCUGAAAUCUGAAUAGGUAAAGAAAUCUUUAAACUGAAGAAGAAAAGGAGAAACAUCACAGAUAACUCACAUAGGAAUACCAGAUUGUAGUAUGCAUUGCAAAUUAAUAACUUCUUUUCAGUUCAUAAGGUUAAUAGGGUUGUCCCUAAUUAUACUAUUGUAGUAUAUGCUAAUUUCAUGCUUUCUUCUAUCAUUUUUAUUCUACUUAGUUGAAGCAAUGAUGAAUAUCAAAAGUGAAUACCAAGUUGAGAAGAACUGGAUGGGUGACCCAUGUUUACCCGAAAAAUAUACAUGGAUUGGAUUGACAUGUAGAGGUGAUGGAGUGACAUCAAGAGUAAAAAGUUUGUAAGUCUAUGGUUAAUUUUGCUCAUACUACUUUCGAAUUAAUAAAGCUGGCACUGAAUUUUGGUUCCAAGUGUGUGAGAUUAUCCAGAUUUAAACCCUAACUCUAAAUCAUCCAGCGGAUUAAUUAUUGUUUUUCCAACAUAGUAGCACUAACAGAGCACAUCAUUUUUUCAGGGACAUGUCCAACAGUGAUUUGCAAGGUGCAAUAUCUGAACAAUUUUCUUUUUUGAAAUCACUCCAAUACUUGUGAGUAUAAUUUUAUAAAAGUUUGUUUUCUUAGUUAAUAGCUCAAAAUUCUGCUAGUAAGUGGUAUGUUUUCAAAAUCUAUUUCAGGAAUUUGUCAUUCAAUAAUUUAUAUGGACCAGUGCCUGAUUCUUUGACAAACUUAUUGUCCCUUCGUGUCCUGUAAGUCCUAUACUUUGGCAGUUUAUGAAACAAGGCAGUCAUAUAGAUUGAUAGGGGAUGAUUUGUUGUCUUUUUUUUCUGCAGCGAUCUAUCAGGGAAUCAUCUUGAUGGUCCAAUUCCUGAAGCUUUAUGCAUGGCACGCUCACUUACUUUAAGGUUUGGAUCUCUUUCUUCUCUUUGAUUUUGCUCCAUAGAUGCUGAUACAAUUUUAAAGCAGACCUCCUUGAGACCGACUUGUAAGAAUUGGAAUGCAACAUCUACAGAUUUAGGGUGGAAUAAAAAGCAACAUAUUAAGUGUUUAUUUUUAGACUCGAUGUCUAGUAAAUCAACCUCUGGAACAUCCAUAUAUGCCUUCAUCCAAUUCAUUAGAGAAUUUUUUUAUGUAAUUUUAGGUAUGACACCAUAAAUGGAGAUCCAUGCAAUGGAAAAUCACCACAUAAGGAAAACACCCUCCUCAUAACUGUCGUAGCAGUACCCGUGGUGAUAAUGGCAUUGCUGGCAUGUACAUUGACAGUGUUUUGUUUCUGCAGAAAGCAAGGUAGAUAUAUGUCCUGUUAAUUCUUACAAAUUUGGUUUAUUUCAAGAUAUGAGUUCUAAUGAUUUCAACCUUUUCCCUUUGCUGCAACAAAUGAUCUAUCAAGAUACAGUUCCAAGUGUGCUACUGGGAUGUGUUGAUCUGCCAGGUCCCAAAAGUCAAGAAAACUGUAAAGGUCACAUACACACAUCCGACAGCCGUGAAUUCACAUAAGCAGAGUUGGUUGCAAUAACAAACAAUUUUUCCGCAUGCAUUGGUGAAGGAGGUUAUGGACCUGUCUUCCAUGGCCAAUUAAAAGAUGGUACUCAGGUUGCUGUCAAGAUGCAUUCUCCAACAUCAGCAACAGGAAAAGGAAUGGAAGAGUUUUUAGCUGAGGUAUUUAAUUUGAAUCUAUAGAGUAUGACAGGCAAUUUUUAUAAGUAUGCAUUCCAUGCAGAAUAUAGAUUCAAUUGUCCAAGGAUUUUUCAUGUUAUUCGUAGUAUACUGAAAAGAUUUGUGAAAUUACGGGUAUAUGAAGUUUGUAGAUCAUUAGGUAAGAUAAAAUAACAGGUGGAACUAAUAAAUGCAUAUCAAUAUUGUAACUUGCAAGGUGAAAGGGAUAACGAUUCCAUCACUUCCAUACAUAUAUCAUUUUGAAACUGACUUUCAGAACUAAAAACACUUCUGCAGGGUCUCAGACUCUAAAUUUAUUUUAUUUUAUUUUGUAGGUUGGGAGCUUAACAACCGUGCACCAUAGGUAUCUCGUUGUGCUGGUUGGCUACUGCACUGACAAGGACCAUUUAGCUCUAAUUUAUGAGUACAUGCCUAAUGGAAGUCUUUAUGAUAACAUACGAGGUUCGUAAUUUGCAAAUUCCAAAAUUAUAAUGCCGGACUUCCUUGCAAAAUCCCUUUCCUGAAGAAAAAAAAACUAUGAUUAGUAGUACUAUGUAUCAUUGUUCUUUAGAGAUCAUGCAAUGUACAAAACUAUUUACAUGAUUUUAAGCCUUCAUUAAAU
rnacentral:lncRNA from 1 species